CGGCCGCGUCGACCGCAGGCGGUUUGAUAAGUCUGAAGUUAAAGGCUGUGGCUCAACCAUAGUUCGCUUUGGAAACUGUCAAACUUGAGUGCAGAAGGGGAGAGUGGAAUGCGUAGUGUAGCGGUGAAAUGCAUAGAUAUUACGCAGAACUCCGAUUGCGAAGGCAGCUUACUAAACCAUAACUGACACUGAAGCACGAAAGCGUGGGUAUCGAACAGGAUUAGAUACCCUGGUAGUCCACGCAGUAAACGAUGAUUACUAGGUAGUUUGCGAU
rnacentral:rRNA from 1 species